rnacentral:rRNA from 1 species
GCAUAUCAAUAAGCGGAGGAAAAGAAACCAACAGGGAUUGCCCUAGUAACGGCGAGUGAAGCGGCAACAGCUCAAAUUUGAAAUCUGGCAACAGCCCGAGUUGUAAUUUGCAGAGGAAGCUUCUGGCGACGCACUGUCUAAGUCCCCUGGAACGGGGCGCCACAGCGGGUGAGAGCCCCAUGUGAUGGCUGCGGACCCAGUGUGAAGCUCCUUCGACGAGUCGAGUAGUUUGGGAAUGCUGCUCAAAAUGGGAGGUAAAUUCCUUCUAAAGCUAAAUAUUGGCCAGAGACCGAUAGCGCACAAGUAGAGUGAUCGAAAGAUGAAAAGCACUUUGAAAAGAGGGUUAAACAGCACGUGAAAUUGUUGAAAGGGAAGCGCUCAUGACCAGACUUGCGCUGGGCUGAUCAUCCGGUGUUCUCACCGGUGCACUCUGCCCGGCUCAGGCCAGCAUCGGUUUUGGCGGGGGGAUAAAGGCGCCGGGAACGUAGCUCCUCCGGGAGUGUUAUAGCCCGGUGUGCAAUACCCCCGCUGGGACCGAGGUCCGCGCAUCGCAAGGAUG